UAGCAGCAGUUCAUACAAAAAGCAGUAGCAACAGCACCGAUUCCCAGAAAUUCCUCAUCUCACCGCCCAGAAGAUGCCCCUUCUCUUGUCCACACAUCGCUAUUCCUCCACAUCACUCAGCGCUGCUCCGCCUCCAUCUUCCCCCUUCUGCUACCUCAGCACCCAGCUCUGCCCCUACUCUUCCUCAGCUCCCUCCUACCAACACCCGGUCGUGCUCCACUCCCAGCCAUGAUGGCCACCCGAGCUCUAGCUGCACCAACACGAGACGACGAAGUUGUCUCCCCGUGCUCCGUAUACCUCGUCUGCUCGUGAUUCGACCUCCUAUUACUCCACAACUACACCAGCUUGUACUCCCAUCCCCCCCGCCACAGCCAAGCAACCGCUGCAUUCUCCUCCAUCCAGCCGGGCAUAGAUGCGCGCGUCGACUGCCUGAUCUGGUAUGGAUGCACGGGUAGCUCCUCCCUCCCCUGAUCUUUCCUUGGCGACCUCACAUCUCCACCCGGUCCACACCAGGAGACGCCGCGCUGGGUGUUUUAGCCACAGAAAUCAUACAUUGGGUGAAGGACGCCCAAUGGUAGGUGACCCGAGGCAAGGUGGAAUCAGCGAGGCAGCGGGGUGGCGAGAUUCGGGAUCGAUGGAUCCGACGCUGCGAGCCCAUGUCGGCCAGAUCCUGACGGUGGCGAGCCGGGGUUUCCUACAGGCACCGGGAGGGAGGACAUCCCCUAUUGUCUAAAGAAGAUGAGGUUGGCUCCGGGGGCUCUGACUCCGAUUCACCGCCAAGCUAGAACUCCCCAUUGAGGCGCUCAUGGUCUAAGGGGCGCGGAGAGAUCCAGGGGCAGGCUCGUGAGGUUGUUGUUUGCGGGAGAGCGUCGUCGUCCUCCACCCAUAUCCCGGCUGGGUUCUUCUCUUCCUCUGCGUCGACGCCCGACCAUGCCUCGGCACGACGAUGACAUAUUUUGGAUUGAUGGGAUCGAUGACAUCCAAAUCAGAGAAGCAUGGCACUGGAGCAAGAGGGUGGAGAUUGAGGAGGCUGCGGGUGGCGUCGGAGAACAUUAGGAGCAGAUGUGGAAAGGGGGGGAAGGAAAACAUGGCGAUCGAUGGCCGGAGAAGAAGACCGGCGGCCGGUGGCGGCGCCAUACUGUUCAGAUCGAGGGGAGCACGUCUCCUCAAUUCCACUGCACGGUGAAUGUACCAAACCGCAGGGUGUUUCCUGCAAAAACGAAACGUUUUUAUAAUCUGUUUAAGUAGGAUUGCGGGUUGAAUAUUAAAGAAACACAGGGGCUUUUCUGCAAAAAGACAUGACGUACGGGCAGAAGCACUCCGUGCUUUAUUAGUAAAAAAAAAAUAAAAAAAGUAGGGAAAGAAGAUGUGUGUGUGCUGAGUUCGAGUCGCGUUUCUCUAAGAAUUUAUCUAGAAGAUAAUUU